AAGCUCUUACGCUGGGGUGGAUACAAGCAAACUGGGUUGGACACAGUCCUUGUCCCACGUGGGCCUCACAGUCUCAAUCCUCAUUUUACAGAUGAGGUAGCGGAGACACAGAGAAGUGAAGUGACUUGCCCAAGACCACGCAGCGGUCAAGUGGCGGAGCUGGGAUUAGAACCCAUCACCUUCUGACUCCCGACCCAUGCUCUGUCCACUGUGCCAUGGAGCAGGAGCAGAGGCAGAAGCAGAGGAGGUCGGCUACCCAAGAAACAGAAGAAUUAACGACCCAGUUGAACGAAUCUGUUCCUGUGACGCUAUGCCAGAGCCGUGAAACCUGGAUUUUGGUUUCAGUUCUGCCCCUGGGCCUGCUGUGUAACCUCAGGUAAGUCACUUAAAUCU
rnacentral:lncRNA from 1 species